GAUGAACGCUGGCGGCGUGCCUAAUACAUGCAAGUCGAGCGAACGGACGAGAAGCUUUCUUCUCUUAUGUUAGCGGCGGACGGGUGAGUAACACGUGGAUAACCUACCUAUAAGACUGGGAUAACUUCGGGAAACCGUAGCUAAUACCGGAUAAUAUUUUCAACCGCAUGGUUCAAAAGUGAAAGACGGUCUUGCUGUCACUUAUAGAUGGAUCCGCGCUGCAUUAGCUAGUUGGUAAGGUAACGGCUUACCAAGGCAACGAUGCAUAGCCGACCUGAGAGGGUGAUCGGCCACACUGGAACUGAGACACGGUCCAGACUCCUACGGGAGGCAGCAGUAGGGAAUCUUCCGCAAUGGGCGAAAGCCUGACGGAGCAACGCCGCGUGAGUGAUGAAGGUCUUCGGAUCGUAAAACUCUGUUAUUAGGGAAGAACAUAUGUGUAAGUAACUGUGCACAUCUUGACGGUACCUAAUCAGAAAGCCACGGCUAACUACGUG
rnacentral:rRNA from 1 species